rnacentral:rRNA from 1 species
UACGGGGGGAGCAAGCGUUGUUCGGAUUUACUGGGCGUAAAGGGCGCGUAGGCGGUCAGCACAAGUCAGUUGUGAAAUCUCCGGGCUUAACUCGGAAAGGUCAACUGAUACUGUGCGACUAGAGUGCAGAAGGGGCAACUGGAAUUCUCGGUGUAGCGGUGAAAUGCGUAGAUAUCGAGAGGAACACCAGAGGUGAAGACGGGUUGCUGGGCCGACACUGACGCUGAUAGCGCGAAAGCCAGGGGAGCAAACGGG